AUACAGAGGGUGCGAGCGUUAAUCGGAAUUACUGGGCGUAAAGCGCGCGUAGGCGGCUUGGUCAGUCGGAUGUGAAAGCCCUGGGCUUAACCUGGGAAUUGCAUUCGAUACUGCCAGGCUAGAAUGUAGUAGAGGGAAGUGGAAUUCCGGGUGUAGCGGUGAAAUGCGUAGAUAUCCGGAGGAACAUCAGUGGCGAAGGCGACUUCCUGGACUAACAUUGACGCUGAGGUGCGAAAGCGUGGGGAGCAAACAGGAUUAGAAACCCCUGUAGUCC
rnacentral:rRNA from 1 species